UACGUAGGUGGCAAGCGUUGUCCGGAUUUACUGGGCGUAAAGAGCGCGCAGGCGGUCGUUCAAGUCGCGUGUGAAAGCCCCCGGCUCAACUGGGGAGGGUCACGCGAUACUGAUCGACUCGAAGGCAGGAGAGGGUAGUGGAAUUCCCGGUGUAGCGGUGAAAUGCGUAGAUAUCUGGAGGAACACCGGUGGCGAAGGCGGCAUCCUGGACCGGCAUUGACGCUGAGGCGCGAAAGCUAGGGGAGCAAACGGG
rnacentral:rRNA from 1 species